UGGGGAAUUUUGGACAAUGGGGGCAACCCUGAUCCAGCAAUGCCGCGUGAGUGAAGAAGGCCUUCGGGUUGUAAAGCUCUUUUGUCAGGGAAGAAACGGUUUGGUCUAAUACACUGAGCUAAUGACGGUACCUGAAGAAUAAGCACCGGCUAACUACGUGCCAGCAGCCGCGGUAAUACGUAGGGUGCAAGCGUUAAUCGGAAUUACUGGGCGUAAAGCGUGCGCAGGCGGUUAUAUAAGUCAGAUGUGAAAUCCCCGGGCUCAACCUGGGAACUGCAUUUGAGACUGUAUGGCUAGAGUGUGUCAGAGGGGGGUAGAAUUCCACGUGUAGCAGUGAAAUGCGUAGAUAUGUGGAGGAAUACCGAUGGCGAAGGCAGCCCCCUGGGAUAACACUGACGCUCAUGCACGAAAGCGUGGGGAGCAAACA
rnacentral:rRNA from 1 species